rnacentral:rRNA from 1 species
UACGGAGGGGGCUAGCGUUGUUCGGAAUUACUGGGCGUAAAGCGCACGUAGGCGGACUUGUAAGUCAGGGGUGAAAUCCCGAGGCUCAACUUCGGAACUGCCUUUGAUACUGCAAGUCUCGAGUCCGGAAGAGGUGAGUGGAAUUCCUAGUGUAGAGGUGAAAUUCGUAGAUAUUCGCAAGAACACCAGUGGCGAAGGCGGCUCACUGGCCCGGUACUGACGCUGAGGUGCGAAAGCGUGGGGAGCAAACAGG